rnacentral:rRNA from 1 species
UACAGAGGGUGCAAGCGUUAUUCGGAAUCACUGGGCGUAAAGGGCGUGUAGGCGGUUUGGUCAGUCCGAUGUGAAAUCCCCGGUCUCAAAUCGGGAAGUGCAUCGGAUACUGCUAGACUAGAGUGCAGGAGAGGAGAUCGGAAUUCCAGGUGUAGAGGUGAAAUUCGUAGAUAUCUGGAGGAACAACAGUGGCGAAGGCGGAUCUCUGGACUGUAACUGACGCUGAGGCGCGAAAGCGUGGGGAG